rnacentral:rRNA from 1 species
GGGAGGCAGCAGUGGGGAAUAUUGCACAAUGGGCGCAAGCCUGAUGCAGCCAUGCCGCGUGUAUGAAGAAGGCCUUCGGGUUGUAAAGUACUUUCAGCAGUGAGGAAGGUGGUAGUGUUAAUAGCACUAUCAUUUGACGUUAGCUGCAGAAGAAGCACCGGCUAACUCCGUGCCAGCAGCCGCGGUAAUACGGAGGGUGCGAGCGUUAAUCGGAAUUACUGGGCGUAAAGCGCAUGCAGGUGGUUUGUUAAGUCAGAUGUGAAAGCCCGGGGCUCAACCUCGGAAUUGCAUUUGAAACUGGCAGACUAGAGUACUGUAGAGGGGGUAGAAUUUCAGGUGUAGCGGUGAAAUGCGUAGAGAUCUGAAGGAAUACCGGUGGCGAAGGCGGCCCCCUGGACAGAUACUGACACUCAGAUGCGAAAGCGUGGGGAGCAAACAGGAUUAGAUACCCUGGUAG